rnacentral:rRNA from 1 species
UAAAAAAUUUGGCGGUAUUUUAGUCUAUUCAGAGGAACCUGUUUUAUAAUCGAUAAUCCACGAUGGACCUUACUUAAAUUUGUAUUCAGUUUAUAUACCGUCGUUAUUAGAAUAUUUUAUAAGAAUGUUAAUUUUUUAAAUUUUUUUGAUAAAAGUAUAUCAAUCAAGGUGUAGCUUAUGUUUAAGUAUAAAUGGGUUACAAUAAAUUUAUUUAUAUGAAUUUAAAUUUGAAAUUUUUAAUGAAGGGGAUUUGAUAGUAAAAUUAUAAAGAUUAUUAAUUUGAUUUUAGCUCUAAAAUAUGCCAUAUCCCCGUCACUCUUAUUAUUAAGGUAAAUAAGUCGUAACAUAGUAGAUGUACUGGAAAGUGUAUCUAGAAGCAAUUUAAAGCUUAAAUAGUAAAGUAUUUCAUUUACUUGAAAAGAUUUUUGUGCAAAUCAAUAUAAAUUGAUUAAUUUAUAUUUAUUAAUUUUUUUUUUAUGAAAUUUUUUUUAAUAAAAAUAAUUUUAAAGUUUAUUGUUUUAGUAUAUUUUAAAAAAAAAUAAUUUUAAUUAUAGUUUAAUAGUAUUGUGAAAGAAAAUU